AACGAACGCUGGCGGCAUGCCUAACACAUGCAAGUCGAACGAAGCCUUCGGGCUUAGUGGCGCACGGGUGCGUAACGCGUGGGAAUCUGCCCUUGGGUUCGGAAUAACAGUUAGAAAUGACUGCUAAUACCGAAUGAUGUCUUCGGACCAAAGAUUUAUCGCCCAAGGAUGAGCCCGCGUCGGAUUAGCUAGUUGGUGAGGUAAAGGCUCACCAAGGCGACGAUCCGUAGCUGGUCUGAGAGGAUGAUCAGCCACACUGGGACUGAGACACGGCCCAGACUCCUACGGGAGGCAGUAGUGGGGAAUAUUGGACAAUGGGCGAAAGCCUGAUCCAGCAAUGCCGCGUGAGUGAUGAAGGCCUUAGGGUCGUAAAGCUCUUUUACCCGGGAUGAUAAUGACAGUACCGGGAGAAUAAGCCCCGGCUAACUCCGUGCCAGCAGCCGCGGUAAU
rnacentral:rRNA from 1 species